GGGCCCUUAGCUCAGUUGGCAGAGCAGCGGACUUUUAAUCCGAAGCGCGUCGGUUCGAGCCCGACAGGGCCCACCA
rnacentral:tRNA from 2 species